AGGGCACCACCAGGAGUGGAGCCUGCGGCUUAAUUUGACUCAACACGGGAAAACCCACCCGGCCCGGACACUGGAAGGAUUGACAGAUUGAGAGCUCUUUCUUGAUUCAGUGGGUGGUGGUGCAUGGCCGUUCUUAGUUGGUGGAGCGAUUUGUCUGGUUAAUUCCGAUAACGAACGAGACUCUAGCCUACUAAAUAGAUCGUCGGCUUACAAACGCCGAUGAGACUUCUUAGAGGGACAGGCGGCGAUUCAGCCGCACGAAACAGAGCAAUAACAGGUCUGUGAUGCCCUUAGAUGUCCGGGGCCGCACGCGCGCUACACUGAAGUGAUCAGCGUGCAUUUUCAGCCUACUCUGCCAAGAGUGGGAAACCCAAUGAACCUUCUUCGUGAUUGGGAUAGGGGAUUGUAAUUAUUCCCCUUGAACGAGGAAUUCCCAGUAAGCGCGAGUCAUAAGCUCGCGGUGAUUACGUCCCUGCCCUUUGUACACACCGCCCGUCGCUACUACCGAUUGAAUGUUUU
rnacentral:rRNA from 1 species